GAUGAACGCUGGCGGCGUGCCUAAUACAUGCAAGUCGAGCGAACGGACGAGAAGCUUGCUUCUCUGAUGUUAGCGGCGGACGGGUGAGUAACACGUGGAUAACCUACCUAUAAGACUGGGAUAACUUCGGGAAACCGGAGCUAAUACCGGAUAAUAUUUUGAACCGCAUGGUUCAAAAGUAAAAGACGGUCUUGCUGUCACUUAUAGAUGGAUCCGCGCUGCAUUAGCUAGUUGGUAAGGUAACGGCUUACCAAGGCAACGAUGCAUAGCCGACCUGAGAGGGUGAUCGGCCACACUGGAACUGAGACACGGUCCAGACUCCUACGGGAGGCAGCAGUAGGGAAUCUUCCGCAAUGGGCGAAAGCCUGACGGAGCAACGCCGCGUGAGUGAUGAAGGUCUUCGGAUCGUAAAACUCUGUUAUUAGGGAAGAAUAUAUGUGUAAGUAACUGUGCACAUCUUGACGGUACCUAAUCAGAAAGCCACGGCUAACUACGUGCCAGCAGCCGCGGUAAUACGUAAGUGGCAAGCGUUAUCCGGAAUUAUUGGGCGUAAAGCGCGCGUAGGCGGUUUUUUAAGUCUGAUGUGAAAGCCCACGGCUCAACCGUGGAGGGUCAUUGGAAACUGGAAAACUUGAGUGCAGAAGAGGAAAGUGGAAUUCCAUGUGUAGCGGUGAAAUGCGCAGAGAUAUGGAGGAACACCAGUGGCGAAGGCGACUUUCUGGUCUGUAACUGACGCUGAUGUGCGAAAGCGUGGGGAUCAAACAGGAUUAGAUACCCUGGUAGUCCACGCCGUAAACGAUGAGUGCUAAGUGUUAGGGGGUUUCCGCCCCUUAGUGCUGCAGCUAACGCAUUAAGCACUCCGCCUGGGGAGUACGACCGCAAGGUUGAAACUCAAAGGAAUUGACGGGGACCCGCACAAGCGGUGGAGCAUGUGGUUUAAUUCGAAGCAACGCGAAGAACCUUACCAAAUCUUGACAUCCUUUGACAACUCUAGAGAUAGAGCCUUCCCCUUCGGGGGACAAAGUGACAGGUGGUGCAUGGUUGUCGUCAGCUCGUGUCGUGAGAUGUUGGGUUAAGUCCCGCAACGAGCGCAACCCUUAAGCUUAGUUGCCAUCAUUAAGUUGGGCACUCUAAGUUGACUGCCGGUGACAAACCGGAGGAAGGUGGGGAUGACGUCAAAUCAUCAUGCCCCUUAUGAUUUGGGCUACACACGUGCUACAAUGGACAAUACAAAGGGCAGCGAAACCGCGAGGUCAAGCAAAUCCCAUAAAGUUGUUCUCAGUUCGGAUUGUAGUCUGCAACUCGACUACAUGAAGCUGGAAUCGCUAGUAAUCGUAGAUCAGCAUGCUACGGUGAAUACGUUCCCGGGUCU
rnacentral:rRNA from 1 species